rnacentral:rRNA from 1 species
CCCUUAGAUGUUCUGGGCUGCACGCGCGCUACACUGAAGCGUUCAACGAGUAUUCACCUUGCCCGGGAGGGUUGGGUAAUCUUUUGAAAACGCUUCGUGAUGGGGAUAGAUUAUUGCAAUUAUUAAUCUUCAACGAGGAAUUCCUAGUAGACGUAGUUCAUCAGACUGCAUCGAUUACGUCCCUGCCCUUUGUACACACCGCCCGUCGCUCCUACCGAUUGGAUGAUCCGGUGAGCUAUUCGGACCUUCGCUUCGUCGAUUUUCGGCUUUGUGAGGGAAAGUCUCGCGAACCUUAUCAUCUAGAGGAAGGAGAAGUCGUAACA